CAGUCCCCCAAUGUGUCUCUACUUCGCCCUCUCCUUGGGCCGGGCCGCAGUGCGCGUGAUGGGCCAGGCCAAGGGGAGAGCGUCGCAGGCCCCCGGGCAUGGUCUCCACCCAGCAGGCCCCUUCCCAAGAAAGGACCCCCGAGGCUGAAGCUGCACCCCGGGUGGAGCCUGGGAGUUGGGGGAACCCGGGAUCAGGGUGAGGAGCUGGGGAAGCGUGGACCCGGGCCCACCCCACCACCCCAAGGCAGCUCGAGUGGCCCAGGAAGAGGAAUCGAAAGGGAUCCAGAGAAUCACCGGUGAAUGGUUUCCUGGGGCGCUGCCCACUGCACCUCAUUUCCUGUAGAUGACUGACUUCCUAGCUUCUGCCUUUAAAAGGUCCGUGAAGGACUCUGCAAAAUGGAGACGACUCAGCUCGGAUUCGGGGAACCCAGGGAAAGAAACCCGAGUUUCGAAUUGGUUCCGAACGCUGGAAAGGUUCCAGGUGGACCGUAAAAAUUGUUCCAGGCGAGAAUUAUGGGUGGAUGAUAACUCCAGGGGUGCAAUAUACUGAGGAGCAAAUAUUUGACUGGGUUAACUACUCUGCCCACGAAUAGUUCUUAUUAACAAGAGAUGAAUAUUACUUUUGAAAAAUAAAAUAAAGCGGACAUGCAAUCUC